CUGCACUCUAAGACUUGGCUCCUCCUGUCUGCUCUGGCCAAUCCUAGGAUUCUAUAAGCUCCUCCCUCUUUCUAACCACACUCAAGAUGGCUGCCUGGCAUUCCUCUACAAAAUGAAGGCCUGCCUCACUCACUGUUACCCAGGCUUCAUUCCUGGCCUAAUAGCAGGUUAAAGAAACAGGAUCCAGAGUGCCUUUAGAGGAGUAAGGUGUUAUCCAAUUCCAAAUGGCACAAAGUGGGGAAAAGAUAGACCUCUACAGGAUGGGAGAUUGGACCAUUUCCAUACUAUAGAUUACAAUGCAUAUUCCUGUUGGCCAAGUUAAAGAGAAGAGGAAUUAUCAAACAAUUCUUUGUUCCGUUAAUGGGUUAAUAAUAUUCAGCAGUCCAUUCUUUCCCCCUCUUUCUUUUUCCUUUCCUUUUCCUUUCCUUUCUCUCUCUCUCUCUCUCUUUUUCUUUCUUUUUUGAAAAGGCUUAUUUAAAUGUUUAUCAGUUGUGCAAAGUGGAGCAUCACUAGAGAGACGCAAGGGAAAACCGAUCAUUGCCUAUGCAUGGCAGCGUUGUAGGAAGAUUAAAAUAACAUUGAGUAUAUUCUGUAAAUGAAGGAGAGAACUAAAAAAAAGCCUCCAGAGUCCAUUAUAAAUUUUAAUAAUACAUCAAGGUAAUGUAACUGAAUAACCGAUCUCUGAGGGAAGAAACACAACAUUUGGCUAAUAUUACAAUUUAAAUUACGAAAACAAAAAGAGCUUUUAGUUAAUCUUGUCUUUCUGCUUUUAUUCUUCAGGCUUUCUUAUUUAUUUAUUUUUUAUUUUUUCCCUGAUUCCAAAACACCAUGUAAACAAAUAAAAGUAUGGGAGAAAAAUAAACAGU